UAAACGACUCUCGGCAACGGAUAUCUCGGCUCUCGCAUCGAUGAAGAACGUAGCGAAAUGCGAUACUUGCUGUGAAUUGCAGAAUCCCGCGAACCAUCGAGUCUUUGAACGCAAGUUGCGCCCGAAGCCAUUAGGUUGAGGGCACGUCUGCCUGGGCGUCUCAC
rnacentral:rRNA from 1 species